CCGCCCCCCGCGCCUGCCGUGCGAUGACGCAGCCGCGCCGCGACGUGGGGAUUCCGCCGGAUUACCCGGCGUGCCCCGCGGCAAAAUGGCGGCCUGAGGCGAGAGAGCGGGGCCGGGGCCGGGCGGGGGCAAAGUUUGGGGCGGGCCCGAGGCGGGGCCGAACCGGCCGCAAAGUCACUGGGACCCCCGGUGGAGCCGAGCCCGACUGGAUUCAGAGAAGGAACUGGGAUAAAGGGCCUCUAUAAAAUGAAGCCAUGAAUCCUCACUGAAUCUUCAGAGAGCAGCUUGAAAUAAACGUCACCCAAUUUUGAUGCUGUUUCUUUCC
rnacentral:lncRNA from 1 species